rnacentral:rRNA from 1 species
UACGUGGGGGGCAAGCGUUGUUCGGAAUCAUUGGGCGUAAAGGGUGCGUAGGCCGCACGGUAAGUCAGAGGUGAAAUCCCGGAGCUCAACUCCGGAAUGGCCUCCGAUACUGCCGUGCUCGAGGACUGGAGAGGAGUCUGGAAUUCACAGUGGAGCAGUGAAAUGCGUAGAUAUUGUGAGGAACACUAGUGGCGAAGGCGAGACUCUGGACAGUUCCUGACGCUGAGGCGCGAAGGCCAGGGGAGCAAACGGG